GACGAACGCUGGCGGCGCGCUUAACACAUGCAAGUCGAGCGAGAACCCAGGCUUCGGCCUGGGGGAAAGCGGCGAACGGGUGAGUAACACGUGGGUAAUCUGCCCUCGGCAUCGGGAUAGCCCGGGGAAACCCGGAUUAAUACCGGAUGGCCCGACAGCUCUUCGGAGCGGUCGGAAAAGGUAGCUUCGGCCUCCGGCCGAGGAGGAGCCCGCGGCGGAUUAGCUUGUUGGUGAGGUAAUGGCUCACCAAGGCUCCGAUCCGUAGCUGGUCUGAGAGGACGAUCAGCCACACUGGGACUGGGACACGGCCCAGACUCCUACGGGAGGCAGCAGUGGGGAAUCUUGCGCAAUGGGCGAAAGCCUGACGCAGCGACGCCGCGUGAGGGAAGAAGGCCUUCGGGUUGUAAACCUCUUUCAGGAGGGACGAAGCCACUCGGGUUAAUAGCCCAGAGGGUGACGGUACCUCCAGAAGAAGCCCCGGCUAACUACGUGCCAGCCGCCGCGGUAA
rnacentral:rRNA from 1 species